GAUGAACGCUGGCGGCGUGCCUAAUACAUGCAAGUCGAGCGAACGGACGAGAAGCUUGCUUCUCUGAUGUUAGCGGCGGACGGGUGAGUAACACGUGGAUAACCUACCUAUAAGACUGGGAUAACUUCGGGAAACCGGAGCUAAUACCGGAUAAUAUUUUGAACCGCAUGGUUCAAAAGUGAAAGACGGUCUUGCUGUCACUUAUAGAUGGAUCCGCGCUGCAUUAGCUAGUUGGUACGGUAACGGCUUACCAAGGCAACGAUGCGUAGCCGACCUGAGAGGGGGAUCGGCCACACUGGAACGGAGACACGGUCCAGACUCCUACGGGAGGCAGCAGUAGGGAAUCUUCCGCAAUGGGCGAAAGCCUGACGGAGCAACGCCGCGUGAGUGAUGAAGGUCUUCGGAUCGUAAAACUCUGUUAUUAGGGAAGAACAUAUGUGUAAGUAACUGUGCACAUCUUGACGGUACCUAAUCAGAAAGCCACGGCUAACUACGUG
rnacentral:rRNA from 1 species